UUCUAUUCUUCCUCCUUUCCUUACAGGUAUAUAGAGCAAGGCUGGCAGAGUGCUGAGACAGCAUGCUGCAAAGACGCUCUGACACAGCACUUCCGGUCACAGUAGUUAAUUACUUCAAAUAUGCAGCUUAAGUGCAGCCCAUGAAUCAGAUCAGGACCAGUUCCUGGAAACCUUGAUAAUGAGAGCUUCGGGAGGCAAGAGCACCGGGAGGGGGAGGCAGGCCAGUGGGUUCCAUUCCCCUGGUCCUACAUUGCCAUGGCCAAGGAUUCUAGAGGCCUUUCAUAAAUAUUCAUAGGGGAAGGCUGAAGAAGGGAGAUGGAUGUACCCAUUCCUGAUGCCAAGAUGGAGCGACUGAGGCUCAGGAUCCUGCUGCGGCUCACCUGGAAUGAAGUAGCAAGCAAGUCUCAAUGAACCAUUCUGUCGCUGGCAGGAAGCCACCUAGGGACUUUCUCUCUGUCUCUGCUGCUGGGUCCAAUGAGCAUGGCUUUUGUUGGGGGAGUAUAUGAGCUGAACCAUCUCUUGUCACUUUGGCCUGUUGUUCUUAUUUGUCCUCCUUCCUUGUCUUGAUGGGACCACUGCCACUGAUAGUGUUAUUGAGCACUGAAUUAGACAAUGUUUUAAUUGAAAAGAAGCAUAAAUUAGAAUCCAUGUGUUCCUAUAAUAUUUUAGGAAAAAUCUAGAAGCUGUAUUGCAGUGGUUAAGAGCGAAGCUCAUGAGGUAGCAUAUAAAUCAUAGUAAUUACAAAUAAGCCAGUUAAUUUUCCGGUGAAUCUUGAUUCUUGUGGAUUUGUAACCUUAGCAAAAUAUGUAGUUUUUUUUUCAUCCUCAGUUUUCUUUUUUUUUUUUCUCAGUUUUCUUGUCUGUAAAAAAAUGGAGAAUAAAAUAAAAUAACUCUUAGCACCA
rnacentral:lncRNA from 1 species